UAACGGCGAGUGAAGCGGGAAGAGCUCAAAUUUGAAAUCUCCGAUGCUUGCAUCGGCGAGUUGUAGUUGCGAGAAGCACUUUCUAGGCGGAUCGGCGGUGCCUAAGUUGCUUGGAACAGCACGUCACAGAGGGUGACAACCCCGUCUGUGGCGCCGCCGGCCACCCACGAUGUGCUUUCGAAGAGUCGGGUUGUUUGGGAAUGCAGCCCAAAACGGGUGGUAAACUCCAUCUAAAGCUAAAUACUGGCGUGAGACCGAUAGCGAACAAGUACCGUGAGGGAAAGAUGAAAAGAACUUUGAAAAGAGAGUUAAAAAGUACGUGAAACCGUUGAAAGGGAAACGAAUGGGCUCAGCAAUGCACCCUUUGAGAUUCAGCCGGUGGGUGGGAUCGGCGCCGGGUUUGCGGAUCUGAAUGGACCGCGGCCAGGCGCUCGUUUCUCCCUGGCCGUCGCACUUCUCUUGGGUGCGCGUCAACGUCGGUUGGGACUGGGUCUGAAAGGUGCCGGGAAGGUAGGCGUGGGCCUCCGGGUCCCUGCUGUUACAGCCCGGUUCUCCUCAUGGCUCGGGCUCGACCGAGGAGUUGCAGGGCAUGCCUGCUGUGGCUAGGGUCC
rnacentral:rRNA from 1 species